ensembl:lncRNA
AUGGAUGGCUCUGAACAGAAAUGUCAGAAUGUGACAGAAUCAACAUACACCGUCAAACAGUUGGAACAUUUUACCUGCUAUAAAUUCAGGGUCUGGGCCCUGAUCGCAGAAAAACACGCUUGCUCUCCAGCGAGCCCUUGGUACCAAACAAAACCAACUGGACGAAGGUUGAAUCAACAGUUGCUCAACAGUCUUUUUACAUCAUGUUUCAAAAUCAGUUGUUUGAAGCUGUUUAACGUUUUUCCCUUCCAAAACGUGCCCUCCAGCCCAUCCAUUAAGAGUAUUGAGAGUGUGGAGGUUCGCUGGUCUCUACCUGAAAAACCAGGAGGACCCAUCUUGGGCUUCAACCUCAAUCUCACAUCCAACAAACACGUCAUCAGUGUAGCAACUGGAGGAAAUGUAUUCUUCAACACAUUCUACCCGACAUUCCACUACAUAUAGGUAGUAUACAUACACAGUCUUCCAGUUUUUAUAUUUCUGCAAUUUUAUGCAACAUCAAAUGCAUUAUUUAAUGUAUUCAGUGUAUACAUUGUUCAUUUUUACACUGUACUAAUCUGACGUUAUUAUUUUUUGUUGACAUAUAACAUUGAUUGUACUGACUGCAUCUCAUACAGGAUCUCUGUUGCUGCUGUUAAUGAAGAGGGCCAGGGUUCAACUGCUGAAGCCAGCAUAACAGCACCAGCACAAGUUGGUUAGUUUAAGCUCACAGUGAAACUUUUACUCUAUCCUACAAAAAUGACCCUAAUUUGCUAAGUAGAACAUGUUCCUGGAUCUUUUGUUGGUCCUAGAACAACACUGUGAACCUAAUUGUGUUCUAAAAUAUUUUAGUGUUAUUUUAGUUUUUACAGAUUUGUGUAUUAUAGUCAAUUCUAUAUAUAUAUUUUUAUAAUUUGUAUAAUAAUAAUAAAACAUUAUAAUGAAGUAUCA